AAGGUAUCAGUGAGUUCAAAUUUGAUGCAGACAUGAUAAUUAAAGAUCAGAUUCAGGUUCAAAUUGAUAGGGAAAGGUAUCAGAUCACGACAGUGUGGUCGAGUAGAGCAAUCUAGGCAUGGUUCAGUUUAAUUUCAAAUUCGUUGACUACGCAACAGACAACUAACAACGACGGCACUGAGUUUAUCCGGUGAAUCAAAAUGCUUACAAGGCUAUCUCAUCAUCAUCCCCUAUGCAUAUGCAACAAUCCUAAAUGAAACACUCUAGACUCGAUCCUAAAUGUGAUGCAACUACAUGAACACUCUGCUUUUGUGAAAUCAUUU
rnacentral:sRNA from 1 species